rnacentral:rRNA from 1 species
GAUGAACGCUGGCGGCGUGCCUAAUACAUGCAAGUCGAGCGAAUGGAUUAAGAGCUUGCUCUUAUGAAGUUAGCGGCGGACGGGUGAGUAACACGUGGGUAACCUGCUCAUAAGACUGGGAUAACUCCGGGAAACCGGGGCUAAUACCGGAUAACAUUUUGAACCGCAUGGUUCGAAAUUGAAAGGCGGCUUCGGCUGUCACUUAUGGAUGGACCCGCGUCGCAUUAGCUAGUUGGUGAGGUAACGGCUCACCAAGGCAACGUUGCGUAGCCGACCUGAGAGGGGGAUCGGCCACACUGGGACUGAGACACGGCCCAGACUCCUACGGGAGGCAGCAGUAGGGAAUCUUCCGCAAUGGACGAAAGUCUGACGGAGCAACGCCGCGUGAGUGAUGAAGGCUUUCGGGUCGUAAAACUCUGUUGUUAGGGAAGAACAAGUGCUAGUUGACUAAGCUGGCACCUUGACGGUACCUAACCAGAAAGCCACGGCUAACUACGUGCCAGCAGCCGCGGUAA